AAGUGAGGUCAGCGUUCCCCCGCGGAUGAUUGGUAAGACCUGGAUCCGGAUGUAGCUUUGAGCGCCGUGAAUGGUCGCUUCAGCGAGACAGGAAGAGGAACGACGAGACGCGAUUGGCCGCGGGAGUCGUGGUUCGCUCUCUUGCGGACGGGAGGCAGGGGAGCUGCGGCUAGCGGCGACUAGCUCGGCGGGAAGCUUCUUUCGUGCUUCAGAAGGAGCCGUGCCUCAUUUCUUCCCCGCAGCCCGCUCCUCCGUCGGAUGAUGCCGGCGGCCGCGUCGCCCCCUCUCACGAUCGGUGGCGGUGGCGCAGGAGGGGGCCUGGCCGGAGCCGGAAGUGAAGCGGCGGCCAUAGAGGGGCGGCGGCGGCGGCGGCGCCUCUGGCGGUACGCGGCGGAACCGCCUGCCGGGAGCGUGCGGAGGAGUUUGUCGGCCAGCGGCCCGGUGAUGCGCGGACCUGCCCUGCCCCGUCUCCUGCUGCUUUCCCCGUGGGACCCGCCGGAAUCGAGCGGCGGUGCUGAGGUGUCCUGAGCAGAGACACCGCUGGGGCUGCAGGUAGGGGCUGCAGGCGCCGCCCGUGCCGCUUUCCCUUCGUGCCGGUCUCAGGCGGUGCGGGCGGGACGGGGAUGACUCCGCUUCCCUGGAGGAAGGCGCUGGAACGCCGUCAUUAGUUAUUCCCUACUGGCCCAUGACGCGUUUAGGUUGCAAUCCGGGGUGGGGGCCGUGAGUGCCUCUUGCCGCUCGGUGGCUUCAGCACGUGGUGCCGGUGGUUGCGAUGGGUGCCUGGCUUGGAGCCAGGCCGCUGGGUUCAUUUCUCCAGCGGAAGGCGCAGCAAGGGUAGGGAAGAACAGCGUUGAUAGGAUCGAGUGCUUGUCCGCAAGUGUCGGGGACGAUUGCAGGCCGCUCCUCUACUUGUGAUGGAUGCUCUCUAGAGGCGCUGCCUUAAAAAGCAGCGUGUCUACACCUCAAGUGGCCGGCUUCUAAGGAGACUUGGGUCUUGGAGACUCGUUUUUAUACUACUAAAUAGGAAUUGCUAGUUAAAGUCUAUAAUAAAAUUUUAUCGUUAGCCUUAGUUUCACAUUGCUCUGUGGUUGAAUAAUGCAGGUGAUCAUUUUUAUUCCAUGAAGGAACGAGUGUCUGACGGUGCUCGCUCUUAGCUACAAGUCGUAUCUCAGCUUUAUCUAAAGCAACAGUGGAGGAACCUGUCAGUAGUUAAGAGAUAGUUAAGGGAUCGAUUGUACUGGUUCAGCAGAAAUGGAUUGGUUAAGUGUAAGUCUCCGUAUCAGUUCUGCUUUAAAGGCGUUUUUAAACUUGUUUUAAUUUGUAUUAAAUCUGAUGCUUUGGAAAGUAGUGAGGAAAGGGCUCUCUGGAGAGUUGAGUGAGUCAGAACUGCCUACCCCUGUGUGAAUCUGGGUCAAACACAAAUGCUCUGGAGGAUGCGUAUAAAAGUUUUUGAGGCGUGUAAUGUUGAGGGAACUUUGAUUCUGUACUGUAGUUCCACUUUAGUGGAUAAACAAAAGCAAAUUGUUCAGAAUAUUUUAGCCCAAAUGUUCAGAAAGCUUUCAAAAUCCACUUUGAUUGUGACUUCUGUACUGGCCAAAUCGUGACCUAGAUUGCGAGGUGUUUUUUGUGGCAACAGUUUGUAUCUCUAGUACCGUUCAAUAAAUAAAUGGUUUGUGACAAAA